rnacentral:lncRNA from 10 species
AUAUUUUGCACCCCAACUUGGGAUUCUCCAGAGCUAGCACAGGGAAUGUGGAGCAUUAUGGAGAAACUGUGACAGAGGGCCUCUGAGUUGGAAAGCUGCUGCUCUGCCCUCAUUUGGAGGCAUCCUCUCGUGUUCUACCUCUCAACUGUGUUCGAAAACCAACAAAGAUGGCUGGGCAUGGUGGCUCAGAGGUUUGGGAGGCCCAGGCAGGACGAACACUUGAGCCCAGGCGUUCAAGACCAGCCUGGGCAACAGAACAAGACUCAUCUCUAGAAAAAAUUUAAAAAUUAGCCAGGCAUUGUGGUGAGUACCUGUAAGUCCCAGCUACUCAGGAGGCUUAGGUAGGAGAAUAGCUUGAGCCCAGGAGUUUGAAGCUGCAGUGAGCUAUGAUCACACCACUGCAAUCCAGCCUCGGUAACACAGCGAAGCCUAGUCUCUAAAAAAAAAGAAAAAGAAAACAAAGAAUAGGGCCACGACAACAUCACAAGGUAUGUAUGUAUGGCGCUUUGGUUGACAUUUACAAGAUAAGGCUAAAACAUUUUUUCAGUAUCAAGAAGUCUUGGAUCCAGGCUGGGCACGGUGGCUCACACCUGUAAUCCCAGCACUUUGGGAGGCCGAGGUAGGCGGAUCUUUUGAGAUCAGGAGUUCAAGACUAGCCUGACCAACAUGGUGAAACUCUGUUCUACUAAAAAUACAAAAAAAUUAGCCUAGCGUCGUGGUAGCUACCACGCUACCAAGCAUGGUGGUAGCUGUAGUCUUAGCUACUCAGGAGGCUGAAGCAGAAGAAUCACUUGAACCUGGGAGGCAGAGGUUGCAGUGAGGUGACAUCGCGCCACUGCACUUCAGCCUGGACAACAGAGUGAGACUCCAUCUCAGAGAAAAAUAAAAAAGUCUUGGAUCCAUUUUGAUGCCUUUUGUGGCACUUCACAUGAGGAAUCUGUGCUUAUCAGUUAUCAAAGUAAGGAAGACUUUAUUAUGAGCCACUAGUUUCUAUAUAUGGUGUACUCCCUUUAAUGACAGACUGAUCAUCUUCCACAAGUAUUUACCCAGCAUUUUAAACACUUUGAGUUCCGCUCAGAAGAAAACAACUUUCAAAAAAUUUUUUCCAUGCAUUUUCCAAGGGAGAAUGAUAAGGUUUCAACUGGGUGACUUGUCCACCAUGGAAAACCAAACAUGGAUGGCAGGGAUGUUCUUGAAUCUGCAGCCCAUGUUGGUUAGUGCAGCCCUACUUCCAAAGCAUGGAAUAUGCUUUCAGAAAAUGCAUAUUCUAUUUUUCCUCCUUGCAUCUUUCUGGUCCUUCUGCAGAAGGUGCUGUCACCGUGUAAGUAUUGCCUGGCCUCUUCAGAGACACAGAAUGACCCCAUACCCCACAGGAAAUGACCUUAGAUUAUUUCCCUUUGUGGAAAAUGUGUCUGGUUGAAAAUGUCUUCUGGAUGAGAAAGCAUGGGGUAGGUGUGAACCGUUACAACAUUGAAUUAUCGUUUUCCUUUUCAAUUAGCACCAGUCACUGCCACCUUGUGUGACCAAAACUGAAAAAAGAUUUGCAUCAACAUGCUUUUAUUCCAGCACUGUGGUUAUCAACAUAAGCAUCAGCUUUCAGGGUUCCUGCUACAGACUUUCAAACUCUCCAGCCACUCAAGAUGGCAUUACACUGCAAUUGGGAUGUCACAGCCGGAUAGUACGCUUCCUAGGCGACCAUUCUUUGGUGGUAGACCCCUCCCUGGGGACACUGGAACUCAACAGGCAUCCGCUCAUUACAGCUGGUGAGCUUUCUGUUAACAGUGCUGCAAGAACAAAGGUGGAGGCAUUGAAGCAACUUGUGCUUCUCUCCUCAUUGCAACCCACCCUUGUGGCAGGAAAAGUCUUCUUGAUCAUUCAAACCACUUGAAGACAGCAUUCUUCUUCAGGAAUUGAACUGAAUGUGCUGCCAUCCUAGGCAAAAACUCCCAACUGACUGGUAUUCACAUUUUUGGUCCAGUACCCAUCCUGUAGAAACAUUAUACUGUUAAAGCUAGUUGUUAGAACAUUCUGUCAGAUAGAAACAUUUAUUAGUUGAUAUAACCAUGCUUCACUGGGCAUAGUGAAGACUGAGGUUCGUCAGGGUGACCUGGAGCCCAUAAAAAAUUCUGAAAUUUCUUGAUUCAUCGGAGAAAGAUUAAAAUAUGUUCAGUGUU